rnacentral:rRNA from 1 species
CCUACGGGUGGCUGCAGUAGGGAAUAUUGCUCAAUGGGCGAAACCCUGAAGCAGCAACGCCGCGUGGAGGAUGAAGGUUUUCGGAUUGUUAACUCCUUUUGUUAGAGAAGAUAAUGACGGUAUCUAACGAAUAAGCACCGGCUCACUCCGUGCCAGCAGCCGCGGUAAUACGGAGGGUGCAAGCGUUACUCGGAAUCACUGGGCGUAAAGCGCGCGUAGGCGGGAUAGCAAGUCAGAUGUGAAAUGCUAUGGCUUAACCAUAGACCUGCAUCUGAAACUGUUAUUCUAGAGUAUGGGAGAGGUAGGUGGAAUUCGUGGUGUAGGGGUAAAAUCCGUAGAGAUCAAGAGGAACACUCAUUGCGAAGGCGACCUGCUAGAACAUAACUGACGCUGAUGCGCGAAAGCGUGGGGAGCAAACAGGAUUAGAUACCCCUGUAGUC